CACACUGCAGCCCGGAAAGCUGUUCUGGGUCACGGUGGCUGCUGUUAAUGGGGCAGGAGUGGGGGUCCAAAGUGACCCAUACAAACUACUCAUAGAGUUGAGGCAGGAGGCGACACCGUAUCAGACAGGCAUACUCAGUAUGUCUCAUUUCCUUGCUGUGAUUAAAGAGCCGGUAUUCAUUGGCAGCAUUGGCACCCUCCUGUGGUGUAUUUUGAUGAUUACCGCCGUGUUUUUGUACAGGAGACAUGCCAGACCCACCAACCUGGGAGGCAAACACUCAGGCUUGUAUAGACUGAAAAGUGAAGAUCUCAUCAUCAAACACAGAAUGGCGGCACCAGACUCUCCGUGGAUCUCUGGAGGCUGGAGGCCAGAUUCCAGCAGUGAGCCCAAGCAGGGCCUUUGGAACCCGAGUCAAGAGAACUCCGGCUUCCGGAGGACAACUCUGCCCAUUAUGGCUAAAAAGGACCCCAACCCCCUGCGGUCAGCUGUCCCGAUUGUACCAGACAAUUGCGGCGUCUAUGGCACCUUUUAUGUGGAUCUAACCGGCAACGGACUGAAGACAUCUAAUACUCCAGGUUGCUGUCCCAGAAUGCCCCACGGCAAAUCUCAGCUGCAUAACUCCGAAACUGUUCAGAUCACUGAACCCAUCGUCAAAACUGCUGUUGUGAGGGAAGUGAAGGCAUUGCCAUGGAAACGUGCCCUCCCUGCCCAGCCCAACAUGGGUGUUCUGAAGGAAUCGUGGGAGAAAAAUUACAAGCGUGGUGAGACAUUCAUUCAUUCAGUGAGUUAUUCACAUUCAUUUUGUCCAGCACUAACACGUAUUUGUCUACUUCCAGAACUGCAUACUGUAAAAAGUGCCCCACUAAUGCCUGUGAGUCAGCAAGCACUGGCAGUGUGCAGUGCAUCGAGUAACCAUCAGCAAAGAUUCAGUCAGCACCCUGCAGGUGGUGUAUCAGAGCCUGCGAAGCCGCUGAGUUCUCCACGUAUCCUGCACUACUCUGCCUCUCUGCAACUGGUGGACAUGUUACCCAGCCCUCCACCUCUUCCUGUGGAGGACAACCACAGCCUCAGCUCAGAGGACGAGUGA
ensembl:lncRNA